rnacentral:rRNA from 1 species
AUUGAACGCUGGCGGCAGGCUUAACACAUGCAAGUCGAGCGAGCGGCGGACGGGUGAGUAAUGUCUGGGAAACUGGCUGAUGGAGGGGGAUAACUACUGGAAACGGUAGCUAAUACCGCAUACCAUCAAAUGUGCCCAGAGGGGAUUAGCUAGUAGGUGGGGUAAUGGCUCACCUAGGCGCCGAUCCCUAGCUGUGCUGAGAGGAUGACCAGCCACACUGGCACGUGAACACGGUCCAGCCUCCUACGGGAGGCAGCAGGGGGGAAUAUUGCACAAUGGGCGCAGGCCUGAUGCAGCCAUGCCGCGUGUGUGAGGAGGGCCUUCGGGUUGUAAGGCACUUUCAGCGAGGAGGCGUUACUCGCAGAAGAAGCACCGGCUAACUCCGUGCCAGCAGCCGCGGUAAUAC